rnacentral:rRNA from 1 species
UACGGGGGGGGCAAGCGUUGUUCGGAAUUACUGGGCGUAAAGGGCGCGUAGGGGGUCCGUUAAGUUAGAUGUGAAAACUCUGGGCUCAACCCAGAGCCUGCAUCUAAUACUGACGGGCUAGAGUUCUGGAGGGGGUAGCGGAAUUCCUGGUGUAGCGGUGAAAUGCGUAGAUAUCAGGAGGAACACCGGUGGCGAAGGCGGCUACCUGGACAGAAACUGACGCUGAGGCGCGAAAGCGUGGGGAGCGAACAGG